AUGGAACACGUUGAGAAUCCUGUUGAGGGUGACAAUGAAACUCCUAUAAGGAGUAAGAGACAGACGACUGCAAAGUCCUUUGGUGAUGAUUUUGUUGUGUACCUUGUGGAUGACACACCCAGGACUAUUUCAGAAGCCUAUGCAUCUCCUGAUGCUGACUACUGGAAGGAAGCUGUUCGUAGCGAGAUGGAUUCCAUCUUAGCUAAUAGAACCUGGGAGAUCACUGACCGUCCUUAUGGGUGCAAACCUGUAGGAUGUAAGUGGGUGUUCAAGAAGAAGCUUAGACCUGAUGGUACGAUUGAAAAGUACAAGGCACAGCUUGUGGCUAAGGGUUAUACCCAGAAAGAAGGUGAAGACUUCUUUGAUACUUACUCACCCGUGGCUAGACUAACCACAAUUCGGGUGCUACUAUCACUGGCUGCCUCACAUGGUCUUCUCGUUCAUCAAAUGGACAUUAAGACGGCUUUCCUCAAUGGAGAGUUGAAGGAGGAAAUUUACAUGGAUCAGCCAGAUGGUUUUGUUGUACCUGGUCAGGAAGGAAAGGUGUGUAAGUUAUUAAAGUCUUUAUAUGGCCUUAAACAAGCUCCUAAGGAGUGGCAUGAGAAGUUUGAAAGAACAUUAACUGCUGCCGGCUUUGUAGUAAAUGAUGGUGACAAGUGUGUGUACUAUCGCCAUGGUGGGGGCGAAGGAGUUAUUCUUUGUCUGCAUGUCGACGACAUAUUGAUCUUUGGAACCAAACUUGAUUUAAUCAAGGAGGUUAAGGAUUUCUUAUCUCGCUGUUUUGAGAUGAAGGAUCUAGGAGUAGCUGAUGUUAUCUUGAAUAUCAAGCUGUUGAGAGAUGAGAAUGGUGGGAUCACACUGCUUCAGUCUCCCUAUGUGGAAAAGGUCUUGAGUCGUUUUGGGUAUAGCGACUGCACGCCUUCUUCAACUCCAUAUGAUGCUACUGUUGCCACGAGGCCUGACAUCUCUUUUGCUGUGAGCAAGCUGAGUCGGUUUGUGUCUAAACCGGGAGAUGAUCAUUGGCGUGCGCUUGAGAGAGUUAUGCGCUACUUGAAGGGCACUGCGAGCUAUGGGAUUCACUACACCGGGUAUCCAAGGGUACUAGAGGGUUAUAGUGACUCGAACUGGAUAUCUGAUGCUGAUGAGAUUAAGGCCACAAGUGGUUAUGUUUUUACACUUGGUGGUGACACUGCCACUGUUGAAGCAGAGUGGCUUCGUGAGCUAUUAAUGGACUUACCUAUGGUUGAAAAACCAAUACCCCCUAUCCUGAUGAACUGUGAUAAUCAAACUGUGAUCGUCAAGAUAAACAGUUCUAAGGACAAUAUGAAGUCAUCAAGGCAUGUGAAGAGGAGAUUAAAAUCUGUCAGGAAACUGAGGAACUCCGGAGUUAUUACGUUGGAUUAUGUCCAAACAUCGAAAAACUUGGUAGAUCCCUUCACAAAGGGUCUAUCACGUAAUGUGAUAGAUAAUGCAUCGAUGGAGAUGGGUUUGAGACCCACCACAUGA
rnacentral:rRNA from 1 species